GAUGAAGAACGCAGCGAAAUGCGAUAAGUAAUGUGAAUUGCAGAAUUCAGUGAAUCAUCGAAUCUUUGAACGCACAUUGCGCCCGCCAGUAUUCUGGCGGGCAUGCCUGUUCGAGCGUCAUUUCAACCAUCAAGCCCCCGGCUUGUGUUGGGGACCUGCGGCUGCCGCAGGCCCUGAAAAGCAGUGGCGGGCUCGCUGUCACACCGAGCGUAGUAGCAUACAUCUCGCUCUAGGCGUGCUGCGGGUUCCGGCCGUUAAACCACCUUCAUAACCCAAGGUUGACCUCGGAUCAGGUAGGAAGACCCGCUGAACUUAAGCAUAUCAAUAAGCGGAGGA
rnacentral:misc_RNA from 1 species